rnacentral:tmRNA from 2 species
GGGGGCGUCAGGCUUCGACAGAGCUGGAUCGCUUUAAGGUUGCGAGCCGAGGUGCCGUUGGCCUCGUAAACAAACGGCAAAAAAACAACUGCCGAAGAUAACAACUUCGCUUACGCUGCCUAAUUGACGCAGCUCGUCGGCUAGUAGGGUUCCCUUCCCGCCUAGUUAGACGUCGCAAAUAAGGGAUCGCCUGGAAGGGUUCUGUCCGUACCCCAAAGGCUAGAUCAACCGGACUGGGUGCGAAGCCAGCCUAACCUUCGGGAUUGGCCCGCGCCGAGACACAAAAAGAAGGGGACGCUCGUGGACGCUUUAGGGACGACAGUUUUGGAACCGGGUUCAAUUCCCGGCGCCUCCACCA